UACGGGGGGGGGCAAGCGUUGUUCGGAAUUACUGGGCGUAAAGGGCUCGUAGGCGGCCAACUAAGUCAGACGUGAAAUCCCUCGGCUUAACCGGGGAACUGCGUCUGAUACUGGUUGGCUUGAGUGUGGGAGAGGGAUGCGGAAUUCCAGGUGUAGCGGUGAAAUGCGUAGAUAUCUGGAGGAACACCGGUGGCGAAGGCGGCAUCCUGGACCAUUACUGACGCUGAGGAGCGAAAAGCCAGGGGAGCAAAGCGGG
rnacentral:rRNA from 1 species